GAGUCAGCCUUAAGGUAACCCGUUGUUAACAUGAAUUGUUGCACCUAAUUAAAGUACAUUGUUUCUACUGUCAGUCUGUCACCGUCCAGGUAACCAUACAAAUCACUGUACAACAUCCUUAACUACACUGUUGCACCAUUUGGAUAUCUACUUGGACAGUUGGACUCUAUGGACUUCCAACAUCAUUUUCAGAAUCACGUUCCCAGCCAGCAAAUGAAAGCACGGACAUUCAACUUCAAACUCCUGAUAAGACAGAAGGUAUAAAGAUAAUCAAAUACUUUACCAAACAACAUUAAGCAGUAAAUUUAACUAAUCAUGAUUAUUAUCAUUUUUUCUACUGAGUAGCCAAAAGCCUAAGCUAAACUAAUCCCAGGGGACUACGGGAGGCUCCCACAGCUAUCCACUGCAUGACCUCCCACUUCAGGCAGAAAUGUCCAAGUGAGAAGUCGAACCCCUGACCCGUGCGCCAAACAACACAAUCAAGAAGUCUGCUACUGAGUUUAAAACCAAGCAUUUGAUACAUUGCAUACAGCAUAUUGAAAACAUCUAAAAUCAACUGUAAUGAGAACAAGAUCAAGUAGCAAAUUUGAUGAAUAAGUUAACAUUGCUGACUAAGGGCAUCUUCAUUAAACAUUGUAUCAAAUCAAUUUGGUGAGAAAAUGAAAAAUUUCAACUCUAAGAUAGCUCCAUACUCACCUGUUGAAGAACCAGCUACACCAGAUCGUUUAUUCGCACUAAGCAUUUUAUAGCCU
rnacentral:lncRNA from 1 species